UACAUGCAAGUCGAGCGGACAGAUGGGAGCUUGCUCCCUGAUGUUAGCGGCGGACGGGUGAGUAACACGUGGGUAACCUGCCUGUAAGACUGGGAUAACUCCGGGAAACCGGGGCUAAUACCGGAUGCUUGUUUGAACCGCAUGGUUCAAACAUAAAAGGUGGCUUCGGCUACCACUUACAGAUGGACCCGCGGCGCAUUAGCUAGUUGGUGAGGUAAUGGCUCACCAAGGCAACGAUGCGUAGCCGACCUGAGAGGGUGAUCGGCCACACUGGGACUGAGACACGGCCCAGACUCCUACGGGAGGCAGCAGUAGGGAAUCUUCCGCAAUGGACGAAAGUCUGACGGAGCAACGCCGCGUGAGUGAUGAAGGUUUUCGGAUCGUAAAGCUCUGUUGUUAGGGAAGAACAAGUACCGUUCGAAUAGGGCGGUACCUUGACGGUACCUAACCAGAAAGCCACGGCUAACUACGUGCCAGCAGCCGCGGUAAUACGUAGGUGGCAAGCGUUGUCCGGAAUUAUUGGGCGUAAAGGGCUCGCAGGCGGUUUCUUAAGUCUGAUGUGAAAGCCCCCGGCUCAACCGGGGAGGGUCAUUGGAAACUGGGGAACUUGAGUGCAGAAGAGGAGAGUGGAAUUCCACGUGUAGCGGUGAAAUGCGUAGAGAUGUGGAGGAACACCAGUGGCGAAGGCGACUCUCUGGUCUGUAACUGACGCUGAGGAGCGAAAGCGUGGGGAGCGAACAGGAUUAGAUACCCUGGUAGUCCACGCCGUAAACGAUGAGUGCUAAGUGUUAGGGGGUUUCCGCCCCUUAGUGCUGCAGCUAACGCAUUAAGCACUCCGCCUGGGGAGUACGGUCGCAAGACUGAAACUCAAAGGAAUUGACGGGGGCCCGCACAAGCGGUGGAGCAUGUGGUUUAANUUCGAAGCAACGCGAAGAACCUUACCAGGUCUUGACAUCCUCUGACAAUCCUAGAGAUAGGACGUCCCCUUCGGGGGCAGAGUGACAGGUGGUGCAUGGUUGUCGUCAGCUCGUGUCGUGAGAUGUUGGGUUAAGUCCCGCAACGAGCGCAACCCUUGAUCUUAGUUGCCAGCAUUCAGUUGGGCACUCUAAGGUGACUGCCGGUGACAAACCGGAGGAAGGUGGGGAUGACGUCAAAUCAUCAUGCCCCUUAUGACCUGGGCUACACACGUGCUACAAUGGACAGAACAAAGGGCAGCGAAACCGCGAGGUUAAGCCAAUCCCACAAAUCUGUUCUCAGUUCGGAUCGCAGUCUGCAACUCGACUGCGUGAAGCUGGAAUCGCUAGUAAUCGCGGAUCAGCAUGCCGCGGUGAAUACGUUCCCGGGCCUUGUACACACCGCCCGUCACACCACGAGAGUUUGUAACACCCGAAGUCGGUGAGGUAACCUUUUAGGAGCCAGCCGCCGAA
rnacentral:rRNA from 2 species